rnacentral:rRNA from 1 species
AGAGUUUGAUCCUGGCUCAGGAUGAACGCUGGCGGCGUGCUUAACACAUGCAAGUCGAACGGGAAACAUUUUAUUGAAGCUUCGGCAGAUUUAGUUUGUUUCUAGUGGCGGACGGGUGAGUAACGCGUGGGUAACCUGCCUCACACUGGGGGAUAACAGUCAGAAAUGACUGCUAAUACCGCAUAAGCGCACGGGAUUGCAUGAUCCAGUGUGAAAAACUCCGGUGGUGUGAGAUGGACCCGCGUUGGAUUAGCCAGUUGGCAGGGUAACGGCCUACCAAAGCGACGAUCCAUAGCCGGCCUGAGAGGGUGAACGGCCACAUUGGGACUGAGACACGGCCCAGACUCCUACGGGAGGCAGCAGUGGGGAAUAUUGCACAAUGGGGGAAACCCUGAUGCAGCGACGCCGCGUGAAGGAAGAAGUAUCUCGGUAUGUAAACUUCUAUCAGCAGGGAAGAAAAUGACGGUACCUGACUAAGAAGCCCCGGCUAACUACGUGCCAGCAGCCGCGGU